rnacentral:misc_RNA from 1 species
GAUGAAGAACGCAGCGAAAUGCGAUAAGUAAUGUGAAUUGCAGAAUUCAGUGAAUCAUCGAAUCUUUGAACGCACAUUGCGCCCGCUAGUAUUCUGGCGGGCAUGCCUGUUCGAGCGUCAUUUCAACCAUCAAGCCCCAGGCUUGUGUUGGGGACCUGCGGCUGCCGCAGGCCCUGAAAACCAGUGGCGGGCUCGCUGUCACACCGGGCGUAGUAGAUUUUAUCUCGCUCAGGGCGUGCUGCGGGUUCCGGCCGUUAAAAAGCCUUUUUUACCCAAGGUUGACCUCGGAUCAGGUAGGAAUACCCGCUGAACUUAAGCAUAUCAAUAAGCGGAGGA